AAGAGUGGCGAACGGGUGAGUAACACGUGGGAAACCUACCUCUUAGCAGGGGAUAACAUUUGGAAACAGAUGCUAAUACCGUAUAACAAUGACAACCGCAUGGUUGUUAUUUAAAAGAUGGUUCUGCUAUCACUAAGAGAUGGUCCCGCGGUGCAUUAGCUAGUUGGUAAGGUAAUGGCUUACCAAGGCGAUGAUGCAUAGCCGAGUUGAGAGACUGAUCGGCCACAAUGGGACUGAGACACGGCCCAUACUCCUACGGGAGGCAGCAGUAGGGAAUCUUCCACAAUGGGCGAAAGCCUGAUGGAGCAACGCCGCGUGUGUGAUGAAGGGUUUCGGCUCGUAAAACACUGUUGUAAGAGAAGAAUGACAUUGAGAGUAACUGUUCAAUGUGUGACGGUAUCUUACCAGAAAGGAACGGCUAAAUACGUGCCAGCAGCCGCGGUAAUACGUAUGUUCCAAGCGUUAUCCGGAUUUAUUGGGCGUAAAGCGAGCGCAGACGGUUAUUUAAGUCUG
rnacentral:rRNA from 1 species